CAAGCUUCGCUCAAGUUGAGAAGAUGCUGCAAGAUUCAGCUUGUCUCUGAAGAGGAUGAGCUUCCUCGGUUGGAUGAACUCAGGACAGAUGCUGCCUGCGGUGCAAGGUGAGCAAAGGUCAGAUCUUCAGCCAUUAAACUUGCUGAAGAGGGGAAGGGGCACCUGAAGUGUACAUUUUAAACCAGCAUCAUACCAGUUUAAUAAUAAUGUUAUUAUUUAUAUCCCACCCAUCUGACUAGGUUCCCUGAGCCACUGUGGGUGGCUUCCAGCAAAAUACAAAAACACAAUAAAACAUCAAAAACUUCUGUAUGCAGGGCUGCUUUCAUAUGUCUUCAAGAAGACAUAUGGUUAUCUCCUUGACAACUAAUGGGAGGGCAUUCCGCAGGGCAGGCACCACUACCAAGAAUGCCCUCUGCUGGUUCCCUGUAACUUCACUUCUCCCAGUGAGGGACCUGCCAGAAGGCUCUCGGAGCUGGACCUCAGUGCCUGGACUUUAAACAGCCAUGCCUUCCCCCAAAAGAUCCUGGGAAGGGUAGUUUCCUCAAGAGUCAUUAAAGUUGUUAGGAGGCCCCUUUCCCCCUCACUGUGAUACAAUUCCUAGAGUGUUCUAGGAUUCAGAAUGUCCUAAAGAUUGCUGAGUCACCUGCUGAAAAUACCUUUCUUGUGUUAGCACACACCACCUUUCCCUCGGGGGGGUACAAGGAGAAAGGCCUCUGAUGGUGAAAGUAGGGUCCAGGUGGGUUCAUGUGGGGAGCUGCCCCAGAAAUUACUCAAAGGGGACUUAAGCACAAGAGCAUUCUCCCUGUUUGUGAUUCCCAGCAACUGGUAAUCAGAAGUAUACUGCACAACACCCCUUCGAUAGCUAAGCUGUGUCCAUUUUGUGUUUGCACAGAUCUUUGUGGCUCAGGACCCCAAUAUCUCCUGGAAUGUCUCUCCCAAAAUGAAAGUCUCUAGCCACUUAGAUCUUCAUCUAAGCCCUUCUCCAGGUCCCUCCUUCAAGGGAGGCUCAGAAGAUGGUGACAAAGGAGAAGGCCUUUCCACUGGCAACUUCUCAUCUGUGGAGCCACAUCUUCUGGC